AACGAACGCUGGCGGCAUGCCUAACACAUGCAAGUCGAACGAGACCUUCGGGUCUAGUGGCGCACGGGUGCGUAACGCGUGGGAACCUGCCCUUAGGUUCGGAAUAACUCCCCGAAAGGGGUGCUAAUACCGGAUAAUGUCUUCGGACCAAAGAUUUAUCGCCUUUGGGUGGGCCCGCGUUGGAUUAGCUAGUUGGUAGGGUAAAAGCCUACCAAGGCGACGAUCCAUAGCUGGUCUGAGAGGAUGAUCAGCCACACUGGGACUGAGACACGGCCCAGACUCCUACGGGAGGCAGCAGUGGGGAAUAUUGGACAAUGGGCGAAAGCCUGAUCCAGCAAUGCCGCGUGAGUGAUGAAGGCCUUAGGGUUGUAAAGCUCUUUUACCCGGGAUGAUAAUGACAGUACCGGGAGAAUAAGCUCCGUCUAACUCCGUG
rnacentral:rRNA from 1 species